rnacentral:rRNA from 1 species
UACGAAGGGGGCUAGCGUUGCUCGGAAUGACUGGGCGUAAAGCGCGUGUAGGCGGCUUGGCAAGUCGGGUGUGAAAGCCCUCAGCUCAACUGAGGAAGUGCGCCCGAAACUGCUUUGCUUGAGUGCUGGAGAGGUAAGUGGAAUUCCGAGUGUAGAGGUGAAAUUCGUAGAUAUUCGGAAGAACACCAGUGGCGAAGGCGACUUACUGGACACAUAUUGACGCUGAGGUGCGAAAGCGUGGGGAGCAAACAGGG